UGAGUUUGAUCCUGGCUCAGGAUGAACGCUAGCGGCAGGCUUAACACAUGCAAGUCGAGGGGUAGGGUAGCAAUACCUGAGACCGGCGCACGGGUGCGUAACGCGUAUGCAAUCUACCUUUUACAGAGGGAUAGCCCAGAGAAAUUUGGAUUAAUACCUCAUAGUAUAGCUGAAUCGCAUGAUUCUACUAUUAAAGUCACAACGGUAAAAGAUGAGCAUGCGUCCCAUUAGCUUGCUGGUAAGGUAACGGCUUACCAAGGCUACGAUGGGUAGGGGUCCUGAGAGGGAGAUCCCCCACACUGGUACUGAGACACGGACCAGACUCCUACGGGAGGCAGCAGUGAGGAAUAUUGGACAAUGGGCGCAAGCCUGAUCCAGCCAUGCCGCGUGCAGGAUGAAGCAUCUAUGGUGUGUAAACUGCUUUUAUACGAGAAGAAACACUCCUUCGUGAAGGAGCUUGACGGUAUCGUAAGAAUAAGGACCGGCUAACUCCGUGCCAGCAGCCGCGGUAAUACGGAGGGUCCAAGCGUUAUCCGGAAUCAUUGGGUUUAAAGGGUCCGUAGGCGGUUUGAUAAGUCAGUGGUGAAAUCUUUCGGCUCAACCGAGAAAUGGCCAUUGAUACUGUCAGACUUGAAUUAUUAGGAAGUAACUAGAAUAUGUAGUGUAGCGGUGAAAUGCUUAGAGAUUACAUGGAAUACCAAUUGCGAAGGCAGGUUACUACUAAUGGAUUGACGCUGAUGGACGAAAGCGUGGGUAGCGAACAGGAUUAGAUACCCUGGUAGUCCACGCCGUAAACGAUGGAUACUAGCUGUUGGGAGCAAUCUCAGUGGCUAAGCGAAAGUGAUAAGUAUCCCACCUGGGGAGUACGUUCGCAAGAAUGAAACUCAAAGGAAUUGACGGA
rnacentral:rRNA from 1 species